rnacentral:rRNA from 1 species
UACGUAGGAGACGAGCGUUGUCCGGAAUUACUGGGCGUAAAGGGCGCGUAGGCGGCCUUCUAAGUCAGACGUGAAAUCCCCCGGCUUAACCUGGGAACUGCGUCUGAUACUGGGAGGCUUGAGUAUGGGAGAGGGAUGUAGAAUUCCAGGCGUAGCGGUGAAAUGCGUAGAUAUCUGGAGGAAUACCGGUGGCGAAGGCGGCAUCCUGGACCAUAACUGACGCUGAGGCGCGAAAGCUAGGGGAGCAAACGGG